AGAGUUUGAUCCUGGCUCAGAUUGAACGCUGGCGGCAUGCCUUACACAUGCAAGUCGAACGGCAGCGCGGGCUUCGGCCUGGCGGCGAGUGGCGAACGGGUGAGUAAUACAUCGGAACGUGCCCUGGAGUGGGGGAUAACUAGUCGAAAGAUUAGCUAAUACCGCAUACGAUCUUCGGAUGAAAGUGGGGGACCGCAAGGCCUCAUGCUCCUGGAGCGGCCGAUGUCUGAUUAGCUAGUUGGUGGGGUAAAAGCCUACCAAGGCGACGAUCAGUAGCUGGUCUGAGAGGACGACCAGCCACACUGGGACUGAGACACGGCCCAGACUCCUACGGGAGGCAGCAGUGGGGAAUUUUGGACAAUGGGGGAAACCCUGAUCCAGCAAUGCCGCGUGUGUGAAGAAGGCCUUCGGGUUGUAAAGCACUUUUGUCAGGAACGAAACGGCGGGGGCUAAUAUCUCCU
rnacentral:rRNA from 1 species